rnacentral:pre_miRNA from 1 species
AUGGGAAUCACCCGGGGAUCUUGUUAAAAUCCGGAUUCCGAUCCAAUCAGUAGUCUGGGUCCUGAGAUUCUGCAUUUCUAACAAGUUCCUAAGUGAUGCUGCU